rnacentral:rRNA from 1 species
CCAACGAGCGGGGGUUUUUCCCCCCCCCCCCCCAAAAAUUUUUAUAUUGGAGGGCAAGUCUGGUGCCAGCAGCCGCGGUAAUUCCAGCUCCAAUAGCGUAUAUUAAAGUUGUUGCGGUUAAAAAGCUCGUAGUUGGAUCUCAGCUCACGCUAAGUGGUCCACUUAAUGGUGGUUACUACUUAGCUGAGCAUUUUACAGAUUUGUCUCUUGAUGCUCUUCACCGAGUGUCAAGAGUGGUCUGUACGUUUACUUUGAAAAAAUUAGAGUGCUUAAAGCAGGCAACUCGCCCGAAUAAUCUUGCAUGGAAUAAUGGAAUAGGACCUUGGUUCUAUUUUGUUGGUCUCCGGAAUCUGAGGUAAUGAUUAAGAGGGACAGACGGGGGCAUUCGUAUUGCGCCGCUAGAGGUGAAAUUCUUGGACCGGCGCAAGACGAACUACAGCGAAAGCAUUUGCCAAGAAUGUUUUCAUUAAUCAAGAACGAAAGUUAGAGGUUCGAAGGCGAUCAGAUACCGCCCUAGUUCUAACCAUAAACGAUGCCAA